rnacentral:rRNA from 1 species
UACGUAGGGUGCGAGCGUUAAUCGGAAUUACUGGGCGUAAAGCGUGCGCAGGCGGUUUUGUAAGCCAGAUGUGAAAGCCCCGGGCUUAACCUGGGAAUGGCAUUUGGGACUGCAAGGCUUGAGUGCGGCAGAGGAGACUGGAAUUCCUGGUGUAGCAGUGAAAUGCGUAGAUAUCAGGAGGAAUGCCGAUGGCGAAGGCAGGUCUCUGGGCUGACACUGACGCUCAUGCACGAAAGCGUGGGGAGCAAACAGG